rnacentral:rRNA from 1 species
UACGUAGGGGCAAGCGUUGGUCCGGAUUUAUUGGGCGUAAAGAGCGUGUAGGCGGCCAGACAGGUCCGUUGUGAAAACUCGAGGCUCAACCUCGAGACGCCGAUGGAAACCGUCUGGCUAGAGUCCGGAAGAGGAGAGUGGAAUUCCUGGUGUAGCGGUGAAAUGCGCAGAUAUCAGGAGGAACACCGAUGGCGAAGGCAGGCUCUGGGCCACUACUGAC